UCUGUUACCGCUCUGUUACCGCUCUGUUACCGCUCUGUUACCGUUCUGUUACCGUUCUGUUACCGUUCUGUUACCGCUCUGUUACCGCUCUGUUACCGUUCUGUUACCGUUCUGUUACCGCUCUGUUACCGCUCUGUUACCGUUCUGUUCCUGUUCUGUCAGGAAUCCUCUCUCUAAUAACUCAUUUAUUUUCUAACACAAUGUUGUGAGCAGAGAUGCAGUUUUCACAAAUUGGUAGCGGAUUGAUAUUUAUUUUUUAUUUUUUAAUGGUUCUAAAAUCGGAGGAUAUUUUCGUAUCUUGAUCUGAUGUUUACAGAACGUGAUGUAAUGCCGUGCAGUCAGUGACUGUCAGGACAUGUAUAGUACCAGAGGAGGGAUAUGGUCUCCGAGUUGGUCUCUUUAGGUGUCCUUUUAUGUGUGUUGAGUAACGCUGUUCGUUCCGUUUGUCUGUGUUAGACGGUCUUGUUGUUGCCUGUAGUGGGAGAUUUGAAAGGUUAGUUGUAUAGGGAGUCCUCUAGCCUGUUGGCAGUGUAUUUAGCUGUAGAAGAUAUUCCACAAGUGUCCCCGAGUGUUUUAGACAAGGCCUUUCUUCAUUGUCAUCAUCAUCAUCAUCAUCAGAAAUGUUAACAGUAGAAAGCUUCCUAUUUCUAAUGGACUGGUUUCUAAAAUCAAACAAUUUUUUAAUUGGCUGAAUUAUUAAUGAUCCUGAAAUGAGGCCCUCUUCCCCUCUGUCGUCCGCUCAUAUCAGCCAGCGGGUCAUUAUUGAUUAUUGGAACCGGCGAUUUACCGAUCAAGAAUCUCUCUCCCGUGUGCUCCUGCGUUGUUUCAGGGAAUUCCACAAACGGUCCUUCCCUCUUUUGUCCUGUGACUGCGGUGUGAACGAAACGGUCCUUCGGUCAUAUUUCAGUGUGUCGUGUACCAGCUGCUCUCUAAACGGUAGUGUCCAUGUUAAAGUCAGUGGUCGUAUCUGACUGUAUCUAACAGAUGGAAAUUGUCAUUUUGAAAGUAUCGAAAAAGGGGUUUCUGAAAUACAAAACGUGAAAAACUCGUAAAAGAACCACUGUUGCCACGAGGACGUGGAUUAUAACAUAUGAAAUUGAUGUUGGGGGUUUAACGUGGGGCGUAUUUCCUGUUCUCACUGCGCUACGCCUUUACGCCUCUGACGCGCCGUGUCAUUCCUGAAAAGCAGUUUGACUGUCUAACUCCGAGCGAACCUAAUUAACGUACUGUACUCUCUCCGUGGUGUCUGUCCAAUGAAAUGAGCAGUAGCUUGCCAGCGGGUUGGACUGUGUUCACUACCAUUGUGUAGAACCUAGACAGACUUCAUACUAGGAACAUUAGAAUCUCCUGAUUUAGAUUUAAUUUUCAUACAAUCUGAAUAUCUGUUUAUCAGCCACUGAUGUCAUUCAGAGUAUCGUGUUUUAUAGUGAUAUACGUUUUAAGGUGACAUAAAAGAGACCGUUGUUGGCGUGCUCGGACAACUCUCCUCGUGGUUUUGUCUUGAACUUUAAGCUUUUGGACGUGGAAAUGUUUCCUUAACAUUUUUAAAAACCAAGAUUUGUAACAAAUUUAAAUAAAAUCAUUAAAAAAAAAAGGAAAAUUGAUGUUAAAAAAAGGGGUCAGAAUGUGAUCCCGGUUUGCUGCCUCCUGCUCUGCUGAGCAGCGUCUCUGUACAGUCAUCUCUUACCACCAUAACAUGGUGUCAGAAGUGAAUCACCCUCAUCAAAUAAUAACAACCGAGUUCAUCUGAUAUAAGACCGGAAAAACAUCGUUAGACUCGACACGAGAGAAUAUCUGACAGAAAAUAAUACUAUUACGUGAGUUUGGUCGGGUUUUUUUUUUUUUUUUUUUUUUUGUGAAGGAAAAAGAAGCUGAAAGCUCUGUCUCUCUCUCAUCUUCCGAGCGGAGACGUUGCUAUGCAACAGGCAGAGAGCACAUGGAGCAGAAGCAGAACAAUGUAGGGCCCCAGAGGUGAGCAGGGUCCCAGAGGUGAGCAGGGUCCCAGAGGUGAGCAGGGUCCCAGAGGUGAGCAGGGUCCCAGAGGUGAGCAGGGUCCCAGAGGUGAGCAGGGUCCCAGAGGUGAGCAGGGUCCCAGAGGUGAGCAGGGUCCCAGAGGUGCGCAGGGCCCCAGAGGUGCGCAGGGCCCCAGAGGUGAGCAGCUAACAGAGAAAGUUAUUUCUGAUUUUGGGUUAGGACAGAUGCUAAAUGAAACAAAAAAACAUUUAUUUUUUGGUUAGGUUUUUUUUUUAAAUUCACAAUCCCAAUGUUUUGUUUUAACUUUCUCAACUCUACUUCGCUAGUUCAUUAAUCGUUUCAUCCUCUACCUAUCAUUUUGAAACCUUCAGGACUUGACUGCCCUGUCUCUGACUGGUCAUAUUUUCUCUGACUGGUCAUAUUGUCUCUGACUGGUCAUAUUGUCUCUGCCCUGUCUCUGACUGGUCAUAUUGUCUCUGACUGGUCAUAUUGUCUCUGCCCUGUCUCUGACUGGUCAUAUUGUCUCUGACUGGUCAUAUUGUCUCUGCCCUGUCUCUGACUGGUCAUAUUUUCUCUGCCCUGUCUCUGACUGGUCAUAUUGUCUCUGACUGGUCAUAUUGUCUCUGCCCUGUCUCUGACUGGUCAUAUUGUCUCUGACUGGUCAUAUUGUCUCUGCCCUGUCUCUGACUGGUCAUAUUGUCUCUGCCCUGUCUCUGACUGGUCAUAUUGUCUCUGACUGGUCAUAUUGUCUCUGCCCUGUCUCUGACUGGUCAUAUUUUCUCUGCCCUGUCUCUGACUGGUCAUAUUGUCUCUGACUGGUCAUAUUGUCUCUGCCCUGUCUCUGACUGGUCAUAUUGUCUCUGACUGGUCAUAUUGUCUCUGCCCUGUCUCUGACUGGUCAUAUUGUCUCUGCCCUGUCUCUGACUGGUCAUAUUGUCUCUGACUGGUCAUAUUGUCUCUGCCC
ensembl:lncRNA